GGAGAGGUGCGAGAGUGGUUGAAUCGGCUGGUCUCGAAAACCAGAGUCCUCCUCGUGGGGACCGGGGGUUCGAAUCCCCCCCUCUCCG
rnacentral:tRNA from 1 species